rnacentral:rRNA from 1 species
UACGGGGGGAGCAAGCGUUGUUCGGAUUUACUGGGCGUAAAGGGCGCGUAGGCGGUCGUGACAAGUCACUUGCGAAAUCUCCGGGCUUAACUCGGAAAGGUCAAGUGAUACUGUCGGACUAGAGUACAGAAGGGGCAACUGGAAUUCUCGGUGUAGCGGUGAAAUGCGUAGAUAUCUGGAGGAACACCGGUGGCGAAGGCGGCAUCCUGGACCGGUAUUGACGCUGAUGCGCGAAAGCCAGGGGAGCAAACGGG